CGAGGCAUCUAUGUCAUAACGUGUCAUUUUGGUGGGCUCUGUUCUAGACACAAUGAAGGAGUGAGCUUGUGAAAAUGCUCUGUCAUGGCCUUGACACUCUUGACACACUGGAAAGAGAAUGGAGACAAAUCACAGGAUGCUGGAGCGUCAUGCCAUCUAGCUGUUUUACACAGGAGGAAGGGAAGAACGCCUGGGAAAGGGUGGCUCCAGUAUAUUGGAAGUUUUGUGAAAACCUCGAGGGCAUUGACCUUAACUUUGAAGCUUCCCAUCCCUGUAGCUUCAAUGGAGGUGUCUUGAGGAAGAGAUUCAUCAUGGUUUGUUGCAAGCCCCUUCCCUCCGGGCACACAGCUAGACUGCUUUUUCCACUCUCUGUUACCACGUCCUGGCCAACAGAAUGAAAGGAUGCCUGCAGCUACUUCCUCUGAAUCUGAUGAAAUCACCUAGGCCGAUUUAAAUUGCACAGUCCAGCACUGCCUCCAACAUCAGGAAAGUAAUGUGAUAAAUAUGUUUGGAUGUUUAUCUUUUAGUUCCUACAAACUUUGGCUCUAGGUUAAACAUUUUGGUAUCAUGUUUAUUUUUUUAAAUAAUAACAACCACAAGAACCACCCAAGUAA